GAUGAACGCUGGCGGCAGGCCUAACACAUGCAAGUCGAGCGGAAAGACGGGGAGAGCUCGCUUUUGCCGUUGGCGACGGGCGGGUGAGUAAGAAGUGCGUAACCAACCUAUAUGUCUGGGAUGACUACGGGGAACCAGAGCCGCUACCGGCUCAUAUUUCGAACCGGAUGGAUCGAUAGUGCUAGAUAGCUUUGCUGACACUAAUAGCUGGUCUCGGGCUGGAUUAGCUAGUUGGUAAGGUAACGGCUUACCAAGGCAACGAUACGUAGCCGACCUGAGAGGAUGAUCAGCCACACUGGAACUGAGACACGGUCCAGACUCCUACGGGAGGCAGCAGUGGGGAAUAUUCCACAAUGGGCGAAAGCCUGACCGAGCAACGCCGCGUGGGUGAAGAAGGUCUUCGGAUCGUAAAGCUCUUUUAUUAGGGAAGAACAAAAGUGUGAGAAACCGUUCACGUCUUGACGGUACCUAAUGAAUAAGCACCGGCUAACUUCGUG
rnacentral:rRNA from 1 species